rnacentral:lncRNA from 12 species
GGGCCAUCGCAAGGCCGAGGUGCUGAGCUUCGGCUCCCCAGGGGCGGCGAGCAGACGGACCGGGGCAGCCCAGCACCCAGGCGCCCGGCGCAUCGGGGCCGAGCCUUGGCUCCCUCCCGCCGUCUGCUCACCGCCCUCCCCGCUGCUGGGACGGCGGCCCGGUGUGUGCCCGGGGCAGGGGCGCCUGCAGGCAGCAGCGGGGACAGGGCCGGGAGGCUGCGGGGCAGUGGGCCUGGCCCAGGCGCCACCGCCCCCCGCCCCCGCCCCGGCCCCCCGCAGGCUCCCCGGGACGCACCGGCCUCAUUCCCCCUCGGUCUCCCGCUUCCGCAGCGCCUGCCACGUGCCGGGCCCCGUGCUGGCCUCAGGGGGGAAGGCUGGGAACCGCUCAGAACCCGGGCUGGCCGGGCUGCGGCGGCCGGAGGCUGGAGGCUGGAGGCCGGAGGCCGGAGGCUGGAGCCUACCCUCGAGGGCCCCGACGCCGCUGCAGGGGCAGCAGGCCGCGCUGCACGCCCACGAGUCACCCCCACCUGGUCCGGGCCCUGGGCGCCACCGCACAUGGGCACAACACGUUUUGUAAAAAACCAGACAUGCAGGUCUGGGCCUGAAGGACGUGGGUCAAAUGAGGCCGCCGACGUGCAGCUGUGUCCUCGGAGGCUCGCUCCCUCCCGCGGCGGCUGCCUGAGGGGACGAGGAGGCACAAGCGGCCGAAGCAUCGGGGCCCAACGAGCGCCGCGGCUGCCCGAGCCAACCCGCGACGUGGUGGCCUCCGCGUCACCCGACAGCAUGACGCACGUUCAAGCUGGAAAUGUGUAGGGUGUUUAACUGGCUAGCUUAAUGCACGUGCUUCUAGAAUACUUGGUACCUCUAAAUAUCGUUUAAUACACAAAAAUCUUGUCGGACUUAGACGUUUAGAUUUAGAUGUGAUCUAAACACAAGUAACUUUCUUGUAUGUUGAAUUCAGGGUUCUUGUAUGAUACAAUUUUGUUGCUGAAUAUACUAAAAUAAGUGAGGCUCAGCUUCAGGGUCAGUAGGAAAUCAUCAGCUCCCAGUAGGGGGGUUGGUUAUAUGUUUAUACCAGUAUUUCCUUCUUCCCACCCUUUGUGCUCUGCUAUGUUUUAUUCUGAUACAUAAAUUAGGAAAUUGUUUUAUUUUUGAUCUGUUGAGUGGGGGGUUGUUGGAACAUUUAAAAAGACUUGAAUGAUAGGCUGCUACGUAAUGUUAGAACAGACCCAAUGUAAAGAGUUCAACUUUGAAUCUGGUUUUGUUUCUCACUUAAGUAUUAUAUAGAAACAGACAUUUGGAGAAAUUAGCUGACCAGGUUUGGGAUUCCCCCCCCCAUUCUCUCCACUGGGGUAUAGAAAUCAGUAUAUUGUUUUAGAAUUCCCCUUUGCCACAUGUAUAUAGUAAUAAGGUUUCUUUUGUUUGUGGACAUCAGAGUAUUACAGAGAAAUUUACAUUUCAGUUCUCUCUCCUGAAAGAUUCUUUAGAAGAGGACAGGUAAAUAUAGUUAUAUGGCCAUUUAAAGGUCUCUAUGACAUCUUAUUUAUAUCAUAUUCUUCGUAUAUUCUUUUUUUUUUCUUGAGACAAAUUUCUAACUAUGAUCAAAUUCUCACAAAUAAUGAAAAUGUAAGACCUGAAGAGGAUCAAAUUUUACUCUUCUCUCUAAUAAUAAUAGGGAGCUCUUGUUUUGAUGUUAAUAUUUAACUGAAAGCGAUGACCGUAUUACCAUGUAUAACUUUCAAGGAAACUUCCAAAAACAAAUUUUCUUUUUUUUUUUUUUUUUUUUAAGAUUUUAUUUAUUCAUUAGAGACCAGGAGAGAGGCAGAGACACAGGCAGAGGGAGAAGCAGGCUCCUCACAGGGAGCCUGAUGUGGGACUCGAUCCCAGGACCUGGUCACACCCUGAGCUGAAGGCAGACCCUCAACCUCCUGAGCCACCCAGGUAUUCCUGAAACAAAUUUUCUUUUAAAAAUUACCUAUAUUAGGAUUUAAGACAUGAGAUCCAUAUACUAAUGCAUUAUGCAUGCUAUUUGUGAGAUUGCCAAAUACACUAAUGAAACUCUAAUUUAUCUAAAAUCAUUUUUAAAUAAAAAUCUCUAUUGGCAGAACCCUUUUACA